GACAGAGGGUGCAAACGUUGUUCGGAAUUACUGGGCGUAAAGCGCGUGUAGGCGGCUUGGCAAGUCGGGUGUGAAAGCCCUGGGCUUAACCUAGGAAGUGCACUCGAAACUGCCGAGCUUGAGUUCUGGAGAGGAAGGCGGAAUUCUCGGUGUAGAGGUGAAAUUCGUAGAUAUCGAGAGGAACACCGGUGGCGAAGGCGGCCUUCUGGACAGCAACUGACGCUGAGACGCGAAAGCGUGGGGAGCGAACAGG
rnacentral:rRNA from 1 species